GGCAGGUCUCGGAGUAGUAGCCGGCGCGGAGGUUGGUGGCGGAGAGGGAGAUCCUGGGGCGGAGGAAGAAGGCGGUGAGGAAGAGCAGCAACGACGCAGCGUAGACAGCGGACAUCGCGCAAAGUACACUGCACGUAAAAGGUAAACAAGGGAGAGGCUGAAGGCAGUAUCGGAGGAUGGACAUUUAUGGAGUAGUAAACAAAGAGAGUUGGAAUAUGAUGCGCCCCAGUGGCGCAGCGGCAGUGGCCCAUGUCAGUUACUGCCAUUUGUGGAGGAGAUGUAAGUGGUUUUUGUUGGCGCCUGCUGUUUGUCCGUUUGUUUGUUUGUUCCCGAGGUAGCAGAAGGCACAUUUUGAAGACCGGAGAGGGGCCUGGAGUGGAAGUCUAGAAGUGGUGUUGGUAGAGGGAGGGAUGGGGUCCAUAGUUUCCCAUGCCAUUUGUGGGGCCCGACUGAGGCAAACCAAGUGAUGGCAUGGAGGAGAACGGGGUCCAGAGAUUCCCAGGCAAUUUGCGGAGGCCCGCCGGAUGGCAAAUCAAGACCACGUGAUGGCAUGGCGGACGAGUUUCUUUCUUCACUGAACCACAUAAGAAAUUUUUUAAUAUUAUCCAUUUCAAAUACUUAACUUUUAUAAUUUUAAAAAUAUAUAUCACAUUUUUAUCGUACUCUUGAUUUUUUUUUCCUGUUAUGAAAUAAUUACAUAAAUUUAAAUUUAUAUGUAUAUCUUCAAAUUUUACUCUAUUUAUUAAAAAUUCACUACUAUUAUGAGUA